rnacentral:tRNA from 1 species
GCGCCCGUAGCUCAGGGGAUAGAGCGACAGUUUGCGGAACUGUAGGUCGCAGGUUCAAAUCCUGCCGGGCGUG